rnacentral:hammerhead_ribozyme from 1 species
GUACUGAUGAACAGUCCCGAAAUAGGACGAAGCAGCCGUCCAGUAC